AGAGAGCGCCCCCUGCAGGGAGUGAGCUGACGACCAUUGGAACGAGUGAUGUGCGCCAUGUUGGAGAAGAGGAGCCGUUUCACCGCGCGACGCCUCAGAGAAACUCCGUUCGGAGGUGAGCCAGGAAGGACGAGCGACUCGGACGGAGCACGGUGUGGCCAGCUGUGGCAUCCCUUUCCAAGAACCCCAGACAUCAUCUCACUUCACKCCGACACAGAUAAGAAAAUCACACAAUAUCUUUACAUACACACCACAGAACGGACUGAACUCUUAACUUAUGAUAAAGAAGAAAGGACACUUUUAUUUAAACUUUAUUUUAUUAUGAAAGAGCUGUAUUUGUUUGUAUUUUUYAYGUUUCAUACACUGCCAGAGGUUUGCUGUGUGAAGCAAUAAAUUGUCCACUUUAGCUUCAUGCUCCCUCAUUUGGAUAACUUAGUGGUCCAACUCACCAAACUUAGUAAGAGUGUAGGUGCCAAUAGUGUGUUCCUUCUAGUCAGGCUAAGGGCGCUACAUAAAACUUGGCGAGCCAGCCAGGAGUUGGUUGAAAUUUUUGGAACGUGAGGUUGAGCAGUGGGAAAUUUUAUUGCAUUUUAUUCCUGUGAACAUUGAUAUCAAUUAACUCACAUAAGACUGUGGUACUAAUACAAACACGGAUACAGUUAUUGAGUCACUUUUACUAUUACUAAUUACAAUAUCGCAGUAAUAAUUAUGAUAUCAAAUGUGCCCGUUAUCAAUCCCUGUUAAUGAGGGAGUUUUUCUCUCCACAGUCUCCAAAGAGCUCCUCAUUGUGGGAACUGUUGGGUUUCUCUUUAUUUUGAUUUUACGGUCCUGACCUUCUAUGUAAAGUGCCUUGAGAUAAUAUACAUUAUGAUUUGGCGCUAUACAGAUACAAUUGAAUUGAAUUAUAUCUGAAAAUGUUAAAGUGGCCAAUUCACUGCUUGUAAGUGGUGUAACUGGUAGUGAUGUAGAUGAUGAAGUAUUUGCUUACUUGGGACAGUAUGGUAAGAUUGAGAGGGUAAUUAAAGUUACCAGCAGUAAAACUAAGUCCCAACACACAGCUAUAGUGGAAUAUAGUUCAGGUGGAGCCAUUGAGUAUCUUUAAGAUGCCCUACCUGUUGAUAGACCCUCCAGUAACCUGAACAUUGUCCACUACAUUGAGCUCUUGUCUGAGCUGUACACAGCAGACAGAGGUUCCACCUUAACUCAGACUUACCUAAGUGUACUGAAGGAUGUCGCUCAGCUAAGCGGAGCAGAUUUUGAAAAGGUUUUGCUAGAUGAACUAGCUAGGAUUCAGGAGUCCACCAUCUUUCAUUAUAAUUGUACAAUGUGUUUCUGUUGCUUUGUCCUGUACACGUGACAUCCAUUGCACGUCUGUCCGUCCUGGGAGAGGGAUCCUGGAAAAACUGUAACAGAUGGAGACCCGAAUGACUCCACACGGAGGUCAGAAAGGUCACGACAGCCCCCUGAGUUAGGGAAAGCUUUAAUGUCUUUUGCACAGAGAAUUUUACAGAGCUUUAACCAAGCACUAGACACUAUCGGUGACUAUGACAGCCCCCAGAUAAACCAGAGAUCAGCUCAUGAAGGGACUCAUGCAGAUUCAAGAGGGGAGGGUGGAACCCACAUGGGUAUUUAACCCAUUUAUGUAAUUUAAGAGUGUUUACCACGCCCCACCACAAGGCGGCGCAUCAGCUUUACUCAUUGUCAUGGUCAACAGUGAUAGCGCCCUUUGACCCGAGACGCUGCCCAGAGAGCGCCCCCUGCAGGGAGUGCGCUGACGACCAUUAGAACGAGUGAUGUGCGCCAUGUUGGAGAAGAGGAGCCGUUUCACCGCGCGACCCCUCAGAGAAACUCCG